CACGUAGGAUCCAAGCGUUAUCCGGAUUUAUUGGGCGUAAAGAGUUGCGUAGGCGGCAGAGUAAGCAGAUAGUGAAAUAGUACCGCUUAACGGUAUAAACAUUAUUUGAACUGCUCAGCUAGAGAGCGGAAGAGGUAGCUGGAAUUAUUAGUGGAGGAGUAAUAUCCGUAGAUAUUAGUAAGAACACCAAUGGCGAAGGCAGGCUACUGGUCCGUUUCUGACGCUCAGGCACGAAAGCGUAGGUAGCAAA
rnacentral:rRNA from 1 species